AGGUCGAAUAAGGGAUUUGGCACCUAAAUUAAAAGAUAUUAUAGUUCAUCAGCAACUUGCAAAUUAAUAAACAACGGAAAAACCACAAACGGAUAAUAAAUCAAGGUCAACUUUUACUCAACAAAUCCUGUUUUACAAUGCAUAGAGAGUAAUAAUGCUUUUGAAAUGGGUAUAUGAGUAGGCCAUAACAAGAAAUCACUAACAGGAAAAACGCAUCAUAUCAAUUUUCUAGAGAAAAUGUACUGGAAAAUAUGGUUGGCGGGUCAUACUAACCGAAGCAAGUAUUAAAAUUGUG
rnacentral:misc_RNA from 1 species